rnacentral:rRNA from 1 species
CCUACGGGUGGCAGCAGUAGGGAAUCUUCCACAAUGGGCGAAAGCCUGAUGGAGCAACGCCGCGUGGGUGAAGAAGGUCUUCGGAUCGUAAAACUCUUUCGUCAGAGAAGAAAGUGCGUGAGAGUAACUGUUCAUGUCUCGACGGUAUCUAACCAAACAGCCCCGGCUAACUACGUGCCAGCAGCCGCGGUAAUACGGAGGUGGCAAGCGUUGUCCGGAUUGAUUGGGCGUAAAGGGAACGUAGGCGGUAUUUUAAGUCAGUUGGGAAAGCCUUCGGCUUAACCGGAGUAAUGCAAGGGAAACUGUGAUACUUGAGUGCAGAAGAGGAGAGUGGAACUCCAAGUGUAGCGGUGAAAUGCGUAGAUAUAAGGAGGAAUACCAGUGGCGAAGGCGGCUCUCUGGACGGUAACUGACGCUGAGGUUCGAAAGCGUGGGUAGCAAACAGGAUUAGAUACCCUUGUAGUC